GGGUGCGUAGCUCAGUUGGUAGAGCACUGCCUUUGCAAGGCAGGGGUCUGGAGUUCGAAUCUCCAUGCAUCCA
rnacentral:tRNA from 1 species